UCAGGACUCGGGAGUCGGCUGGGGGGAGAUACUUCUUUGACGUUACUGAUUGCUGUCCCAAGAGGACGAAAGGGAAUCGGGGGAGAGGAACGUUGCCUUUCCGCCUGAUCCGGUUCGCGAGAGAUCUCGAAGAGCUAGAGUUGUGUCCUCCAUAGGACACAACCAAACAAGAACAAUUAUAACAAAUACAAACUUAGAGUUUUCAGUUUAGAAUUGGGACAAUGCCUUCUCAGAAAAUAGAAACGGGUCACCAGGAUGUGGUUCAUGAUGUGUCGAUGGACUACUAUGGCAAGCGCCUGGCCACAGCCUCUUCUGACUCUACCAUCAAGAUUAUUGGAGUGAGUGGCUCCUCACAUCAGCACCUUGCUACCUUGACUGGUCACCAGGGUCCAGUCUGGCUGGUCGCAUGGGCCCACCCUAAGUUUGGAUCCAUGCUUGCCUCUUGCAGCUAUGAUAGCCGUGUGAUCAUAUGGAAGGAAGGGAGCAAGCCUGAUGAGUGGACUCAGGCGCACAUUUUUGCUGAGCACAAGUCCUCUGUCAAUUCAAUUGCGUGGGCGCCACAUGAACUUGGCCUCUGCUUGGCAUGUGGUUCCUCCGAUGGGAACAUCUCAGUCUUCACUGCUCGAACUGAUGGAGGCUGGGACACUACUAGGAUCGACCAGGCCCACCCAGUUGGAGUCACUUCUGUCUCAUGGGCUCCAGCAAUGGCACCAGGUGCCCUUGUAGGUUCAGGACAGUUUGAUCCUGUCCAGAAGCUUGCAUCCGGUGGCUGUGAUAACACGGUUAAAGUGUGGAAGCUUUACAAUGGGAGUUGGAAGUUGGAUUGUUUUCCUGCUCUUCAGAUGCACACUGACUGGGUGAGAGAUGUGGCUUGGGCACCAAAUUUGGGGCUUCCAAAGACUACCAUUGCUAGUGCUUCGCAGGAUGGGACUGUGGUUAUAUGGACAGUGGCGAAGGAAGGUGAUCAGUGGGAGGGUAAAGUUCUGCAUGAUUUUAAGGCCCCUGUUUGGAGGGUGUCAUGGUCAUUGACAGGGAACAUCUUGGCUGUGGCUGAUGGGAAUAACAAUGUCACAUUGUGGAAAGAAGCAGUGGAUGGAGAGUGGCAGCAGGUGACAACAGUUGAGCCAUAGAGAUUGAUAUUACUGCUUGGACUUCCUUUUCCCAUUACCAUUGGAUGAUCUCUGGCAACAUUUUGGGACGUAUGGUAACAUCAAGAGAAGCUUGAAGCUUGAUAUAUACGUAAUCAACUGUUGACAAUAAAGGACGCAAAAGAUGGGGAACGAGGUGCUUAUAAACCGUGGUCACAUUAAUUAGCAAAUUGAUGUGACUUAACUUGAUACUUGCCCUUCUUGUUCCUGGGUUUGGUCCUUGGGUUUUGUCUUGCGCCCUUGUACUUUCUUCUGGCCAACUAUUUAGGGGUUUUCAUACGUACCCCUUUAAAGGCUCAGCAAGCCAAUGUUUCCCACGCGUUACGUUUCAAAAUACCUAUUUCCUUUUACAGAUCUAACAUCGUUCUAAAGAAAAUAAAUUAGAUUGUGCAGAAUCUUACCA